rnacentral:piRNA from 1 species
UCAAAUGUGAUGUACUCUCCUCCAUGGAA